CUCUCAUCCUUGGUGUUCUUUGGAGCAAGAACGAAAGAUUGGUUGACCCUUGUUCUUGCUUGAUUGAAGCUUCAAAUUCAUCCCUCUCCUUGAUUUUAGAGUGGAGCUUGAAGAUCCAACCUUGUCCUUCAAGAUCUAGAGGCGGAGCCUUUCUCUACUGUAAUGGGAUGUCUUCAUGGCCACCCUGUUAAGGUGGCGUGAAGACACGGAUUUACCGUCCAAUUCAAAUGGUGUGUAGAACCCUGAUUGGAUACACAUCAGGAAUCCGGAGUCACCACACAGAUUCUUGAUGAGACAAUGUCAAAGUUAUGAAAGACCUUGACGGCUAUCAACUUAGUCAGGACGAGCUUCAAUAGUUGGCGCCGAGGUGGAGUGAUGGGCA